GACGAACGCUGGCGGCGUGCCUAAUACAUGCAAGUCGAACGCAGUGGGGACGGGUGAGUAACACGUGGGUAACCUCCCAUCAGAGGGGAUAACACUUGGAAACAGGUGCUAAACCGAUACUGAUGGAUGGACCCGCGGUGCAUUAGCUAGUUGGUGAGGUAACGGCUCACCAAGGCCACGAUGCAUAGCCGACCUAAGAGGGUAAUAGUCCAUACGGGGACAGAGACACGGCCCAGAGUCCAACGGAAGGCAGCAGUAGGGAAUCUCCGGCAAGGGGCGAAAGUCUGACCGAGCAACGCGGCGUGAGUGAAGAAGGUUUUCGGAUCGUAAAACUCUGUUGUUAGAGAAGCGGUAUCUAACCAGAAAGCCACGGAUAGCUACGUGCCAGCAGCCGCGGUAAUUC
rnacentral:rRNA from 1 species